rnacentral:rRNA from 1 species
AGAGUUUGAUCAUGGCUCAGAUUGAACGCUGGCGGCAGGCUUAACACAUGCAAGUCGAACGGUAACAGGGAGAAGCUUGCUUCUUUGCUGACGAGUGGCGGACGGGUGAGUAAUGCUUGGGAAUCUGGCUUAUGGAGGGGGAUAACUACGGGAAACUGUAGCUAAUACCGCGUAAUAUCUUCGGAUUAAAGGGUGGGACUUUCGGGCCACCUGCCAUAAGAUGAGCCCAAGUGGGAUUAGGUAGUUGGUGGGGUAAAGGCCUGCCAAGCCGACGAUCUCUAGCUGGUCUGAGAGGAUGACCAGCCACACUGGAACUGAGACACGGUCCAGACUCCUACGGGAGGCAGCAGUGGGGAAUAUUGCACAAUGGGGGGAACCCUGAUGCAGCCAUGCCGCGUGAAUGAAGAAGGCCUUCGGGUUGUAAAGUUCUUUCGGUGAUGAGGGAGGUGUUUGUUUUAAUAGAACAAGCAAUUGACGUUAGUCACAGAAGAAGCACCGGCUAACUCCGUGCCAGCAGCCGCGGUAAUACGGAGGGUGCGAGCGUUAAUCGGAAUGACUGGGCGUAAAGGGCACGCAGGCGGUGACUUAAGUGAGAUGUGAAAGCCCCGAGCUUAACUUGGGAAUUGCAUUUCAUACUGGGUCGCUAGAGUAUUUUAGGGAGGGGUAGAAUUCCACGUGUAGCGGUGAAAUGCGUAGAGAUGUGGAGGAAUACCGAAGGCGAAGGCAGCCCCUUGGGAAUAUACUGACGCUCAUGUGCGAAAGCGUGGGGAGCAAACAGGAUUAGAUACCCUGGUAGUCCACGCUGUAAACGCUGUCGAUUUGGGGAUUGGGCUUAGAGCUUGGUGCCCGUAGCU